rnacentral:lncRNA from 1 species
UACUAUACAAAAUGGGGGCUAACUAACUAACUCCACACUCUAGUAGGAAGACAAGUAGUAGUCUUUACUAGAUUAUGUUUUAGUCAACAAAAUGUGUCUUACAUUUACAAAAGCCUCAGAUUAAUAUUAUUGAGAUCAAAAACCUAUGGUUUCAACGAAGGACAUCAUUCAAGGUGUAAAGUUAAGAGUGUAAUCUUGAGGGAUUUCAUGAUCUCCUCAAAUUUGGAUGGUUCACUGACUAUGGUGCUUUCUCGAUAGAAACAAGCCAAACGACCUCAGAACACCAACAGUGUCCUCUUCUCUUUCACAGGGGGCAGAUUACUUCACUCUCCUUCAUUUACACUUUUAUCUUCUAGCGCUUUUUUUUGUCGUUUUUUGAACCUGCACUAUGAGAAAAAAGGGCCCAUAUUUAAUGAAAAACGGUGUUUUUCCCCAAUCCCCUCUCUCUUUUGUGUGUGUUGUCUGGUGUCCUUAGUGCGGCCAUAUAAGUGAUACCUGCUUUUGCCUGUGUAUGGCUAGCAGUAUGUUGUUUUAUCCAGAUUUGGGGGUCUAUUCUAACUCAGUUCCAAUCUGUUCAGUUCAAGAUGGGAAUUUCUUACCUGGUAUCCAAACUGAAUUCACAUUCCAUUUUGCAGAUGGAAUUUAGAUGGAAUUGACCUCCACCCUGAAUAAUGUCAUCUGUUUGUGCUGUCUUUCCAACUCCUGUGGUCAUUCUGGUCAAGACAGCACAAACAGAUCUGGGAACCAGGUUAAGGCAGAAUGAAUGGGUAAAAGUAGAUACAACUAUUCCCACCUCCAAACAGGACAGACCUAGCCUGGGUUAAACUAGGCUGAAUGCUGUGAUACAAGUUAGCGUAGCAUUCAGUCUGGUUUAACCAGGCUAUAGGAGAGACUAUAGUCCCCUUGUUGUUCAGAUGAACUCUGUGGCCAUCAAUCCUUUGUAGAACAUGCUCUCUGAUGAUGAUGAUUCUCGCUGUGUAAGUUUGAAAAUGCAAUACUUACAAUAAAACACCAAGAUUUUCAAACCGGAACUUGUUGACUUUGUCUACUACCUAUCUAUAUUGUUAUUUUCAAGGUUGUUUUUAAUCCAUUCUCCGUUCAUUUUGAGGAAGUCAGACACUUCUUGUCGGUUGGGUUCCUGUCAGUCAGCGAUACACUUGAGUGUACGAAACAUUAUGAACACCUGCUCUUCUAUGUCAUAGACUGACCAGGUGAAUCCAGGUGAAAGCUAUGAUCCCUUAUUGAUGUCACUUGUUAAAUCCACUUCAAUCAGUGUAGAUGAAGGGAAGGAGACAAGUUAGAGACACAUUUUUAAGCCUUGAGACAAUUGAGACAUGGAUUGUGUACGUGUGCCAUUCAGAGGGUGAAUGGGCAAGACAAAAGAUUUAAGUGCCUUUGAACAGGGUAUGGUAGUAGGUUUGUGUCAAGAUCAGCAACACUGCUGAGUUUUUCACGCUCAACAGUUCCUGUGUGUAUCAAGAAUUGUCCACCACCCAAAGGACAACUAGCCAACUUGACACAACCGUGGGAAGCAUUGGAGUCAACAAGGUAUCUCGGACCUGCCUAGUGUGUUCCUUGUUCUUCAUGAUGCUCUCUGCGCUUUUAACGGACCUCUGAGACUAUCACAGUGCAGGUGCAUUUAUACGGAGACUUGAUUACACACAGGUGGAUUCUAUUUAUCAUCAUUAGUCAUUUAGGUCAACAUUGGAUCAUUCAGAGAUCCUCACUGAACUUCUGGAGAGAGUUUGCUGCACUGAAAGUAAAGGGGCUGAAUAAUUUUGCACGCCCAAUUUUUCAGCUUUGAUUUGUUAAAAAAGUUUGAAAUAUCCAAUAAAUGUCGUUCCACUUCAUGAUUGUGUCCCACUUGUUGUUUGAUUCUUCACAAAAAAAAAUACAGUUUUAUAUCUUUAUGUUUGAAGCCUGAAAUGUGGCAAAAGGUCGCAAAGUUCAAG